rnacentral:rRNA from 1 species
AUUGAACGCUGGCGGCAUGCCUUACACAUGCAAGUCGAACGGUAACGGGCCUUCGGGUGCCGACGAGUGGCGAACGGGUGAGUAAUACAUCGGAACGUGCCCGAUCGUGGGGGAUAACGAGGCGAAAGCUUUGCUAAUACCGCAUACGAUCUACGGAUGAAAGCCGGGGACCGCAAGGCCUUGCGCGGACGGAGCGGCCGUUGGCCGAUUCGGUAGUUGGUGGGAUAAAAGCUUACCAAGCCGACGAUCUGUAGCUGGUCUGAGAGGAUGAUCAGCCACACUGGGACUGAGACACGGCCCAGACUCCUACGGGAGGCAGCAGUGGGGAAUGUUGGACAAUGGGCGCAAGCCUGAUCCAGCCAUGCCGCGUGCAGGAUGAAGGCCUUCGGGUUGUAAACUGCUUUUGUACGGAACGAAAAGCCUUCUUUUAAUACAGGAGGGGCAUGACGGUACCGUAAGAAUAAGCACCGGCUAACUACGUG